UUUAAGUUCUGGGAUACAUGUGCAGAACGUGCAGGUUUGUUACAUAGGUGAACUUGUGUCACUAGGGUUUGCUGUACAGACUAUUUUGUCACCCAGGUACUAAGCCUGGUACCCUGUAGUUAUUCUUUCUGAUCCUCUCCCUCCCCCAAUCCCCCACCCUCCUCUAGGCCCAGUUUUGUUUUAUUCGAAGUCCUGGACUCUCGCAACCUUUUACCUUUUCCUGCCCCGCCUGCCACCCACACCUUCCACCUCAGUCCUAAGUGGCGUGUGGUUCCCACUUGGGACCAAGGAAGGGUGUUUUUCCGUGGCACUUUCCCUGGCUUUGCCGUUGAAA